UACAGAGGUCUCAAGCGUUGUUCGGAUUCAUUGGGCGUAAAGGGCGCGUAGGCGGCGGGGUAAGUCGGGUGUGAAAUCUCAGAGCUCAACUCUGAAACUGCACUCGAUACUGCUCUGCUUGAGGACUGGAGAGGAGACUGGAAUUCACGGUGUAGCAGUGAAAUGCGUAGAUAUCGUGAGGAAGACCAGUGGCGAAGGCGGGUCUCUGGACAGUUCCUGACGCUGAGGCGCGAAAGCAUGUGGAGCGAACAGG
rnacentral:rRNA from 1 species